CGUGAGUAAUGAAGGCCCUAGGGUCGUAAAGCUCUUUCGCCUGUGAAGAUAAUGACGGUAGCAGUAGAAGAAACCCCGGCUAACUCCGUGCCAGCACCCGCGGUAAUACGGAGGGGGUUAGCGUUGUUUGGAAUUUCUGGGCGUAAAGCGUACGUAGGCGGAUUAAUAAGUUAGAGGUGAAAUCCCAGGGCUCAACCCUGGAACUGCCUUUAAAACUGUUAGUCUUGAGAUCGAGAGAGGUGAGUGGAAUUCCAAGUGUAGAGGUGAAAUUCGUAGAUAUUUGGAGGAACACCAGUGGCGAAGGCGGCUCUCUGGCUCGAUACUGACGCUGAGGUACGAAAGUGUGGGGAGCAAACACGAUUAGAUACCCUGGUAGUCCACACCGUAAACGAUGAAUGCCAGACGUCAGCAAGCAACUGUCGGUGUCACACCUAACGGAUAAGCAUCCGCCUGGAACGAACACAUA
rnacentral:rRNA from 1 species